CUUUGGUGCACGGGAGGGGGAGGGGGAAUGGGAUUAUUUCUGGAAGCAAUGGCUGAGCUUUCAUUUUACUGCAGGGGCUCAGGGAGGGAGAAAACUCUGCAGGGCUGCAGCACGGGGACAGAAUUGUUUGCUCUGCAUUUGCUCUGCGUGCAAACGAGGGUGUGGAGAGGGGUGCAAGUCUGCAAAUGCAACCACUGCAAAGCCCUGCCCCAAAUGCAAUCAGGUCCUUGCAAAAGAAGCCCCAGCAAAGCUCUGCUGCAAAUGCAAUCAACCCCUUGCAAAUGCAUCCAAGUCUGCAAAUGCAUCCAGGAUGAAGCCUGGACCCAAAUGCAUGCAAAACUCUGCUGCAAAUGCAUCCAAGUCUGCAAAUGCACCCAUAGCAAAACACUGCCCCAAAUGCAAUCAGAUCCUUGCAAAAGAAGAGCUAGCAAAGCCCUGCUGCAAAUGCAAUGAACCCCUUGCAAAUGCAUCCAAGUCUGCAAAUGCAUCCAGGAAAAAGCCUGGACCCAAAUGCAACCAGGUCCUUGCAAAAGAAGAGCUAGCAAAGCCCUGCUGCAAAUGCAAUCAACCCCUUGCAAAUGCAUCCAAGUCUGCAAAUGCAUCCAGGAUGAAGCCUGGACCCAAAUGCAUGCAAAACUCUGCUGCAAAUGCAUCCAAGUCUGCAAAUGCACCCAUAGCAAAGCACUGCCCCCAAAUGCAAGCAAAACCCUUGCAAAUGCAUCCAAGCCUGCCGUGCUGCAUUGCUGCUGUGCUUUCUGCACUGCUGCAAGGCUGCAGGGCUGCAGGGCUGUUCUGCUGCAAGGCUGCUGUGUCCCCCAUGCACUGCUGCUGUGCUGCAGCCAUGUUUAUGUGCUGCAAGGCUGCAGGGCUGCUUUGCUGCAAUGCUGCUGUGCUUUAUGCACUGCCACUGCUGCGCUGCUGCACCACUGCUGUGCUGCAGGGCUGUUCUGCUGCAGGGCUGCUGUGUCCCCCAUGCACUGCUGCUGUGCUGCAGUCGUGUUUAUGUGCUGCUACAAGGCUGCAGGGCUGUUCUGCUGCAGGGCUGCCGUGCUGCAUUGCUGCUGUGCUCAUGCACUUCUGCUGUGCUGCAGCCGUGUUUAUGUGCUGCAANNNNNNNNNNNNNNNNNNNNNNNNNNNNNNNNNNNNNNNN
rnacentral:lncRNA from 1 species